rnacentral:rRNA from 1 species
GUGCCAGCCGCCGCGGUAAUACAGAGGUCCCAAGCGUUGUUCGGAUUCAUUGGGCGUAAAGGGUGCGUAGGUGGCAUGGUAAGUCGGGUGUGAAAUCCCGGGGCUCAACCCCGGAACUGCACUCGAUACUGCCGUGCUCGAGUACUGGAGAGGAGACUGGAAUUUACGGUGUAGCAGUGAAAUGCGUAGAUAUCGUAAGGAAGACCGGUGGCGAAGGCUAGUCUCUGGACAGUUACUGACACUGAGGCACGAAGGCCAGGGGAGCAAACGGGAUUAGAUACCCCCGUAGUCC